UGCCAGCCGCCGCGGUAAUACGGAGGGGGCUAGCGUUGUUCGGAAUUAUUGGGCGUAAAGGGCGCGUAGGCGGCCCGGCAAGUCAGUCGUGAAAGCCCUCGGCUCAACCGAGGAAUUGCGAUUGAAACUGCCAGGCUUGAGUUCUGGAGAGGGUAGCGGAAUUCCCAGUGUAGCGGUGAAAUGCGUAGAUAUUGGGAGGAACACCCGUGGCGAAGGCGGCUCACUGGCUCGGUACUGACGCUGAUGCACGAAAGCGUGGGUAGCAAACAGGAUUAGAUA
rnacentral:rRNA from 1 species